rnacentral:rRNA from 1 species
UGGAGAGUUUGAUCCUGGCUCAGGACGAACGCUGGCGGGCGUGCUUAACACAUGCAAGUCGAACGGAAAGGUCUCUUCGGAGAUACUCGAGUGGCGAACGGGUGAGUAACACGUGGGUGAUCUGCCCUGCACUUCGGGAUAAGCCUGGGAAACUGGGUCUAAUACCGGAUAGGACCACGGGAUGCAUGUCUUGUGGUGGAAAGCGCUUUAGCGGUGUGGGAUGAGCCCGCGGCCUAUCAGCUUGUUGGUGGGGUGACGGCCUACCAAGGCGACGACGGGUAGCCGGCCUGAGAGGGUGUCCGGCCACACUGGGACUGAGAUACGGCCCAGACUCCUACGGGAGGCAGCAGUGGGGAAUAUUGCACAAUGGGCGCAAGCCUGAUGCAGCGACGCCGCGUGGGGGAUGACGGCCUUCGGGUUGUAAACCUCUUUCACCAUCGACGAAGGUCCGGGUUCUCUCGGAUUGACGGUAGGUGGAGAAGAAGCACCGGCCAACUACGUGCCAGCAGCCGCGGUA